CCCCUCUCAGGAUCACACCUGGAGACUUUCCAGUACUCUACCAGUCUCAGCUGGGCGAGGGAAAGUCAAGCGGAGGCCUACCCAUUCCAUUUCUAGCUUGAGCAGUGGCUGGCGAGUGGAAGGCCAUCUGCUACAGGU